rnacentral:misc_RNA from 1 species
GAUGAAGAACGCAGCGAAAUGCGAUAAGUAAUGUGAAUUGCAGAAUUCAGUGAAUCAUCGAAUCUUUGAACGCACAUUGCGCCCGCCAGUAUUCUGGCGGGCAUGCCUGUUCGAGCGUCAUUACAACCCUCAGGCCCCCGGGCCUGGCGUUGGGGAUCGGCGGAAGUCCCCUGCGGGCACAACGCCGUCCCCCAAAUACAGUGGCGGUCCCGCCGCAGCUUCCAUUGCGUAGUAGCUAACACCUCGCAACUGGAGAGCGGCGCGGCCACGCCGUAAAACACCCAACUUCUGAAUGUUGACCUCGAAUCAGGUAGGAAUACCCGCUGAACUUAAGCAUAUCAAUAAGCGGAGGA